CACAAGCGGUGGAUGAUGUGGAUUAAUUCGAUGCAACGCGAAAACCUUACCUACCUUGACAUGUCCGGAAUCCCGAAGAGAUUUGGGAGUGCUCGCAAGAGAACCGGAACACAGGUGCUGCAUGGCUGUCGUCAGCUCGUGUCGUGAGAUGUUGGGUUAAGUCCCGCAACGAGCGCAACCCUUGUCAUUAGUUGCCAUCAUUUGGUUGGGCACUCUAAUGAGACUGCCGGUGACAAACCGGAGGAAGGUGGGGAUGACGUCAAGUCCUCAUGGCCCUUAUGGGUAGGGCUUCACGCAUGCUACAAUGGCCGGUACAAAGGGCUGCGAUACCGCGAGGUGGAGCGAAUCCCAGAAAGCCGGUCUCAGUUCGGAUUGGGGUCUGCAACUCGACCCCAUGAAGUCGGAGUCGCUAGUAAUCGCAGAUCAGCAACGCUGCGGUGAAUACGUUCCCGGGCCUU
rnacentral:rRNA from 1 species